rnacentral:rRNA from 1 species
AUUGAACGCUGGCGGCGUGCUUAACACAUGCAAGUCGAUCGGUAACGCGGGGGCAACCCUGGCGACGAGAGGCGGACGGGUGAGGAACGCUUGGGAAUCUGCCUAUCAGCGGGGGACAACCCGGGGAAACUCGGGCUAAUACCGCAUACGCUCUACGGAGGAAAGCCGGGGACCGCAAGGCCUGGCACUGAUAGAUGAGCCCAAGUCGGAUUAGCUAGUUGGCGGGGUAACGGCCCACCAAGGCGACGAUCCGUAGCUGGUCUGAGAGGACGAUCAGCCACACUGGGACUGAGACACGGCCCAGACUCCUACGGGAGGCAGCAGUGGGGAAUAUUGGACAAUGGGGGAAACCCUGAUCCAGCGACGCCGCGUGGGUGAAGAAGGCCUGCGGGUUGUAAAGCCCUUUCGGUAGGGACGAAAGCUCUCGACCUAACACGUCGGGAGGUUGACUUAACCUACAAAAGAAGCACCGGCUAACUCUGUGCCAGCCGCCGCCGUAACAC